UGGAUCCAGACUUUGAUUCUGGCUCAGGACGAACGCUGGCGGCGUGCUUAACACAUGCAAGUCGAACGGAGAACUUAUUUCGGUAAGUUCUUAGUGGCGAACGGGUGAGUAACGCGUGGGCAACCUGCCCUCCAGUUGGGGACAACAUUCCGAAAGGGAUGCUAAUACCGAAUGUGCUCCCUCCUCCGCAUGGAGGAGGGAGGAAAGAUGGCCUCUGCUUGCAAGCUAUCGCUGGAAGAUGGGCCCGCGUCUGAUUAGCUAGUUGGUGGGGUAACGGCUCACCAAGGCGAUGAUCAGUAGCCGGUCUGAGAGGAUGAACGGCCACAUUGGGACUGAGACACGGCCCAAACUCCUACGGGAGGCAGCAGUGGGGAAUCUUCCGCAAUGGACGAAAGUCUGACGGAGCAACGCCGCGUGAGUGAUGAAGGUCUUCGGAUUGUAAAACUCUGUUGCUAGGGACGAAAGCACCGUGUUCGAACAGGUCAUGGUGUUGACGGUACCUAACGAGGAAGCCACGGCUAACUACGUGCCAGCAGCCGCGGUAAUACGUAGGUGGCAAGCGUUGUCCGGAAUUAUUGGGCGUAAAGAGCAUGUAGGCGGGCUUUUAAGUCUGACGUGAAAAUGCGGGGCUUAACCCCGUAUGGCGUUGGAUACUGGAAGUCUUGAGUGCAGGAGAGGAAAGGGGAAUUCCCAGUGUAGCGGUGAAAUGCGUAGAUAUUGGGAGGAACACCAGUGGCGAAGGCGCCUUUCUGGACUGUGUCUGACGCUGAGAUGCGAAAGCCAGGGUAGCAAACGGGAUUAGAUACCCCGGUAGUCCUGGCCGUAAACGAUGGAUACUAGGUGUAGGAGGUAUCGACCCCUUCUGUGCCGGAGUUAACGCAAUAAGUAUCCCGCCUGGGGACUACGAUCGCAAGAUUGCAACUCAAAUGAAUUGACGGA
rnacentral:rRNA from 1 species